GUAAGACAUUUUAACUGUAGUGAAACAGCAGCCAUUUCCUCUGCUGUUUCCUGUCCGUCUAAUCACUUCUGCUUUUACUUUCUUUCUUUUUUCUUUUUUUUUUUUUAAGACGUAGUCUCGCUCUCUCUCCCAGGCUGGAGUGCAGUGGCGCGAUCUCAGCUCACUGCAAGCUCCGCCUCUCGGGUUCACGCCAUUCUCUGCCUCAGCCUCCUCGAGCAGCUGGGACCACAGGCGCCCGCCACCACGCCAGGCUAAUUUUUUGCAUUUCUAGCAGAGACGGGGUUUCAC
rnacentral:lncRNA from 1 species